CAUAAAAUGAUUUUUCCUGGAAA
rnacentral:piRNA from 1 species